rnacentral:rRNA from 1 species
AUUGAACGCUGGCGGCAGGCCUAACACAUGCAAGUCGAGCGGGGACUUCGGUCCUAGCGGCGAACGGGUGAGUAAUGCUUGGGAAUCUGCCCAGUAGUGGGGGAUAACGUCCCGAAAGGGACGCUAAUACCGCAUACGUCCUACGGGAGAAAGAGGGGGAUCUUCGGACCUCUCGCUAUUGGAUGAGCCCAAGUCGGAUUAGCUAGUUGGUAGGGUAAUGGCCUACCAAGGCGACGAUCCGUAGCUGGUCUGAGAGGAUGAUCAGCCACACUGGAACUGAGACACGGUCCAGACUCCUACGGGAGGCAGCAGUCGGGAAUAUUGGACAAUGGGCGAAAGCCUGAUCCAGCCAUGCCGCGUGUGUGAAGAAGGCCUUCGGGUUGUAAAGCACUUUAAGCGGGGAGGAAGGUUCGCGGCCUAAUACGUCGCGGAAUUGACGUUACCCGCAGAAUAAGCACCGGCUAACUCUGUG